ensembl:lncRNA
CUUUUAAAAACAAUUUCAAAUCGUUUGAAUUGUUAUUAAUCAAAAUUCGUUUAAGCCAAUCUUUUUGAGGAUCAAUUUCUUCUUUUGCAAUUUCUCUUUUUUCAAUAAAAGUUUCAGUGAGGUUAGUACAUAUUAAAUCAUUCAUUUUGCUUUGACUAACUUUUUUAUUUUACCUUUUUUACCUUUUUUACACCUUUUUUACCUUUUUUACACCUUUUUUACCUUUUUUACCUUUUUUACCUUUUUUUUUUUUUUUACCUUUUUUUUUUUUUUACCUUUUUUUUUUUUUUACAAUUUAAUAUUAUAUAUUUUUAACUAUAUUUUAUGUUACUUGUUUGUUUAAUCAUAACAUAUGUAUGAAUAAAAUGCUUAAAUAUACAUAAAACGUGUUUUUAAAUAGUUUUAUAAAAAAGGGAAAAAAAAAAAAUAAUUGGCAGUGUUAUUUAUUACCACAACUACAACUACAACUACCACGAUCACUAUCAAUACUACAGUUAUUUAUUAUUACUAUUAAUAUUCAUAGGAAAAACAAUGCAAUUGUCAAACUAUGGCUACGAUAAAUACAUUAAGCAUUAAUACAUUUUUUUUUUUUUUUUUUUUCAAUUUUACGUUCUUUUAUUUUCAUAAAUAAGAGCUGAAAUGCGGGAUUAAGCACUAUUAACAAUUACUCUUGCGUACUCUUAAAAAAAAGUAUAUUACUGUUAAUUCCAACGCACAUGCACGCACGCAUAUAUGUAUAUAUAUAUAUAUGCACUUAUGUAUAUAGCUAGCUAAAUAAAUAUCCUCAUAAAAUUAUUACAAAAAUGUUAAAAAAAAAAGUUUUAUAGUAACUCUACUUAAUUGUUGAAUGAAUAUAUUUAGCUGAUGAAUUUAUUAAAUUAGUAGAUAUAUAGAUAUGUAUAUAUUUUAAACUUAAGAGGUAAUCACUAAAAAAAAAACUAUUUAAUUUGGAAGAUUUAUUACCCUUACAUUUUAAUUAAAAAGGCUAAGUCAAUUUUUAAUAAAAUAUUAAUAUGUUUAAACCUUUUGUUUAAGUUUUUUUUUUCCUCCCCCAUAACAAUAAUAUAUAAGCGUUUAUACAAGCGUUUAUCCAAGCGUUUAUACAAGCGUUUAUCCAAGCGUUUAUACAAGCGUUUAUCCAAGCGUUUAUACAAGCGUUUAUACAAGCGUUUAUACAAGCGUUUAUACAAGCGUUUAUACAAGCGUUUACCUAAGCGUUUAUACAAACGUGUACACAAACGUUUAUCUAAGCGUUUAUACAAACGUGUACACAAACGUAUAUAAAUCGUUAUCAAUGUUUAUUGUACAUAUUUUUUGUUUUAAAUUAGUGCUUAGAUAAGCACGUUCUUCUAUGUUCGAUAUUUGCUAAUUGCUUCUUCUUUAUUAUAUAUACAGCGAAAAGGAGAGUUUUUUUUUUUUUUUUUUUUUUUUUUUUUUAUUCAGCAUUUUAUAUAACGUUUAAUAUAAUGUUGCCGUUUAAUACAUAAAUAGCUAAAAAGAAUAUUUAAAAUUUAAAAUUUUGUUAUGUUUUUCUUUCUUUUGUGUUUAUUACAGUUUUUUUUUUUGUCAUAAUUUUUUAUAUUAUUUUUUUUUAUUACUUCAGUUGGUAAAUAGAGUUGCGCGAUUUUUUUUUUAUUAAUAAUACUUUUAGUACAUGUUAUAAAUAUAUAUAUAUAUAUAUAUGUAUAUAUUCUUUAUGUAAAAUGUUCUAACACAAAACAUAUACGUUAACAUGUCUCAUAUAUUUUUUUUAGCACAUUUGCAAGUAUAAUAUAUAUAUAUAUAUAUACAACAUUUUUAUUUUUUAUAUUAUAA